rnacentral:rRNA from 1 species
AUUGAACGCUGGCGGCAGGCCUAACACAUGCAAGUCGAGCGGCAGCGGGACCUUCGGGUUGCCGGCGAGCGGCGGACGGGUGAGUAAUGCCUAGGAAUCUGCCCGUUAGUGGGGGAUAGCGCGGGGAAACUCGCGCUAAUACCGCAUACGUCCUACGGGAGAAAGCGGGGGCUCCUCGGACCUCGCGCUAACAGCUGAGCCUAGGUCGGAUUAGCUAGUUGGUGGGGUAAUGGCCCACCAAGGCGACGAUCCGUAACUGGUCUGAGAGGAUGAUCAGUCACACUGGAACUGAGACACGGUCCAGACUCCUACGGGAGGCAGCAGUGGGGAAUAUUGGACAAUGGGCGAAAGCCUGAUCCAGCCAUGCCGCGUGUGUGAAGAAGGUCUUCGGAUUGUAAAGCACUUUAAGUCGGGAGGAAGGGCUGUAGGCUAAUACCUUGCAGUUUUGACGUUACCGACAGAAUAAGCACCGGCUAACUUCGUGCCAGCAGCCGCAGUAA